rnacentral:rRNA from 1 species
UUUAACCAAAGCGCCCUCAAAUCNAACAGAUGACUUCNUCUCAAUCUGAUAAUUUACUUAAWACUACCCCUAGACCAGGGUUC